rnacentral:lncRNA from 1 species
GUGACAGCUUCAUGUGGUAGGAACACAUAAAUGCUCCUAAAAUGUCAUGGCUUGGGAGAGACAACAUGAACCUGUGUUUUGACUGCCAAAGAUUGCAAGUUAGUUUGAACAUCAACAACAGUUUUUCCCACAUUUUGCUGCUGUGUUCCAUGAACUGAGAUGCAAGCCAUUAAGGAAGACACCACUCUGCUCUUACUUUAUGAGAGAAAACUUGUAAACAGACACAUUCACAAAAUAAAUUAAGAACC